rnacentral:rRNA from 1 species
AUACGUAGGGUGCAAGCGUUAAUCGGAAUUACUGGGCGUAAAGGGUGCGCAGGCGGUUUAUCAAGAAAGGUGUGAAAUCCCCGGGCUCAACCUGGGAAUGGCACUUUUAACUGAUAGGCUAGAGUAUGUCAGAGGGGGGUAGAAUUCCACGUGUAGCAGUGAAAUGCGUAGAGAUGUGGAGGAAUACCGAUGGCGAAGGCAGCCCCCUGGGAUAAUACUGACGCUCAUGCACGAAAGCGUGGGGAGCAAACAGGAUUAGAUACCCUGGUAGUCCACGCCCUAAACGAUGUCAACUAGCUGUUGGGGCCUUCGGGCCUUAGUAGCGCAGCUAACGCGUGAAGUUGACCGCCUGGGGACUACGGUCGCAAGACUAAAACUCAAAGGAAUUGACGGGG